rnacentral:rRNA from 1 species
AAUAGAUACCCGGGUAGUCCACGCCGUAAACGAUGUGGAGCCGGUGCUGGGCAGUGAUUGCGCUGCUCGGUGCCCCAGCUUACGCGAUGACUCCACCGCCUGGGAACUACGGCCGCAAGGCUAAAACUCAAAGGAAUUGACGGGGGGCCCGCACAAGCAGCGGAGCGUGUGGUUUAAUUCGACGCAACACGCAGAACCUCACCUAGGUUUGACAUGUAGCUGCAAGCUCCUGAAAGGGAGUCGCCUUCGAGGGUGCUACACAGGUGCUGCAUGGCUGUCGUCAGCUCGUGUCGUGAGAUGUUGGGUUAAGUCCCGCAACCGAGCGCAACCCCUACCGCGUGUUACUUGUGUCACGCGGGACUGCCGGUGUUGGACACCGGAGGAAGGCGGGGGAUGACGGUCAAGUCCGCAUGGCCCUUACGCCUAGGGCGACACACACGCUACAAUGGGUGCGAAAUGCGCCGCGCCGCGCGAGCGGAAGCUAAUCGCGAAGCCCACCCGUAGUGCAGGAUUGGAGG